UCAAAUAUAAUAUUCAGAAAUUUUAAUUGAAAAAUUAAAAGCAAAUUGCCAUUGCAUUUAGAAGUAAAAAAAAAAAAAUAAAGUCUCUGACAGAGAAGGAAUUUAUAUUGGAAUAUACUCAACACGACUCGAGUGUAAUCCCCCCUAUAAGCUGACAGUUUGAAGAUUGAAUACAACGAUUUGUGGUGUUACUAAUUAAGGAUUCGCUAACAUUUUCGAAUUAUAAAAAAUAAAGAAAAAAAUUGAAGAAAAUAAAAAUACACCUGGCUUAUAUAUGUGAUGUUUGAUGGAGUCUUUCUUAAAGUAGGCUGUCAUUUGAUUGACGCCUACCUCUAUCUUUUUGAGUGAAGACUUUUAUUUGGCAGUAGCCUCGAUGGAAAACUUGUGUAUCCCGUGGAUCCUCAAAUGUGUCAAUUUGUACAUGCAGUGGUAGACCCUGAAAUAAAAAAAUC